CGCUGAGCCAUCGCGUACACAACAUCAGCGUCAGCAGUAAACUACAUAACAUCAACUUAUUUUUGUUGUUUUUGAACGUCGUAUGCACGGAUGUUCUAAAUAAGUACCACUGUAAUGCAAGCAGUGUGAGAUACGUGAUACCAUCAAGAUAAGUUUGUUGAUUAUCUGUUGAACAGAAAAGGCUAUCAUUAAUGUCAACA